GGGGGUUUAGCUCAGUGGUAGAGCGCUUGCCUAGCAAGCACAAGGCCCUGGGUUCAGUCCCCAGCUCCG
rfam:Rattus norvegicus chromosome 12, whole genome shotgun sequence.